GAGACCAUCCGUCCAUCUCCACCCAAUUCCUCCUCCCAAGUCUCAUCGCACACGCGUCCUGGCAGUGCCGGUGCUCCAACUGAGGCGGCGAUGGCGGGGACCUGAACAAUCUGCUCUCCUUGCAUGUGCCGCCGUUGUGCUGUUCCGCUGAAGGAUAUCUGCUUCUCGUCUCAGGCGCCCCCGGUACAAAGUCGGUCCUCACCGACCACCACCAUAGGGGAAGGAGGCCGCCCUGCAGGGCACCUCAUCCAUCGCCGCAUCCCUUCUCUGCGUUAAUUUAGUAAGGUAAUAAGGUGGAUGCUUUCUUCAGACCGUGAGGUGUCAAGAUUCUUUCUACCGCUGAUGAUUUCCAUGACCACAACGCCAAAGCUAUAUACAUCGGCUUUUUCUGUGAUUUGGGAUGUCAACCACUCAGGAGCUAAAUAUCCAUGUCACCUGAAACUCUAGAGGCAACACCUUUGUCCCAAAACUUAAGGCAUGUAUGAAGGGAAGUAUGCAGGUGAAACAAGGUCCAGGUGAAACUUAAGGCAUGUAUGAAGGGAGAACCUAUGUGCCAAGAAGUCGCACUCGUCCCAUAAUUUUGUGAUUGGGACGUCGGUUUCUCUGCUUGGAUUUAUCAGAAAUCGGGAACCAUAAUAUGAAUUACUAUCAUCUAGCAAGAUUAAUGAAGUUUUUUUUUUGAAAAAAUAUACAGCAUAAUUGUCAAAUGAUGCACCGAACAUGUCCGGGAUGAACACGCCGGGCCUCUUGAUUGUUUGCCUCAUCUACGCUUAGGUUUGCAUAGGGUAGGAAGAGAGGAGAUGCAUCACAUAUGCGAUCCAGGAAUGGUUUUUUGAGAUUCAUGGAACCUGUUUGGCUGUUCCAGAUAGUUGACAUGAAAAAUGGCGUUUUGGGCCUUUUUUUUCCA